rnacentral:rRNA from 1 species
UAAUACGAAGGGUGCAAGCGUUGUUCGGAAUCACUGGGCGUAAAGAAUGCGUAGGCGGCUUAACAAGUCGGGAGUGAAAUCCCAGGGCUCAACCCUGGAACUGCUCUCGAAACUGUUUUGCUAGAGUCCCGGAGGGGUUAGCGGAAUUCCGAGUGUAGAGGUGAAAUUCGCAGAUAUUCGGAGGAACACCAGUGGCGAAGGCGGCUAACUGGACGGGAACUGACGCUGAGGCAUGAAAGUGUGGGGAUCAAACAGG